AUCCAGAUGACCAGUCCCAAAUAGACGAAAUGCACAUCCUGGAU
rnacentral:hammerhead_ribozyme from 1 species